ACUGUGAUCACUGCACCGACACCCGCAAAGUCAAGGGCACUGGUUGCCUAAUGUCCCUUCCCUUCAGCACCAAGGGAGAAACUGCAUUCAGGCAUCUCUUAAGGGGAAGGAAUUGCACAGCUUGGUACCAGGGGCAGAAAUCUGGAAACCAUCGUGCCUCCUGACCACACAGAACAACAAUUCCCAAGAUAACACGACAGAAUGGAAGGUUCAUGAAAGAGGAAGAUGAUGUGCAAGGAGACCAGGAAGAAGAGCCCAGGAAGUGAAGCCUCACUUACUUGACAGCAGACCCCAACAGAACCCGGAAC